CGCGUGAACUGUAGUUCAUGGAUAUUGGACACUUACGUUCUCUUUUCCGAAUGGUCCGUGUCUUUCGCUGACUUUUCCUUUGCGGUGUCGGUCUCUUUCUUCUUGAUUUGUAAAGAUGGUGACCCUUCAUUUCCCAUAUAUGCUGCAUUAUUUCUAGCUUUCAAAUAUCAUCAGACACACACGUUCCCUUAGAGGGAACGUCCUCUCCGUUCUGCUGUGGCCUCCGUCUACACUGCAGCCAGUCCGUCCUCAGAUCAAUAACCUUUGCUUAUUUUAUUCUGUCCUGUAGGAGAGUACUUACUUUGUCAGGCAUUGUAGUUGGCUUUGUUGACGGUCAUCAUCCCAUUCAGCGCUCCAACAAUACCACAAGGUGGUGGUAUGACCCGCAUUUUGUGGAUCGGGAUACGGAGGCCGGAGGGCAUCUGAUUCCAGGCCCUUGCUUAUUUCACAGAUCCACCAGAGCAUUUAGAUUGAUGCCAAUUACUAACCCAGAGCCUGGAGACCCAAAGAAACUGCCUUUCCUAAGAACCUCCCUGAGUCUGUGGGUGCCUAUCCAGACCCUCGCUUAAGGAGCCUUCCUGCUUUCUUCACGGAGAGUUCCAGGGCUUCAGAGGCUUGAAGCUGCGUGUAAAAGUGUGUUUAUACCGUUUUCUUGGGAGAGGAUCCAGAGGUGACAUCAGGCUCUCAAACACAAAAACGGUGAAACCCAAAAAGUGGGGGGGGGGGCUCCAUUUUGUGUUCUCUCCAGUGGUUCCCCAACUUUUUUUCUUACCUCAGAGGCAUAUAGAAUUCUCAAAAGAAUAUGAGGAUGUAAAAUUCUGCAAAGUAAGCCCAUUAAAAAGAAACUAACCACUAUCACAACACUCCCAUAUCAUAAAAGGACAUUUUAACCACCCCCCCUCCCAACCAAAUCAAGGACAAAUUCUUGGGAGGGGGGUAGUGACAGGCCUUGAAGUAGAUAAAGGGGCUGUAACACACUGUCCUCCUGGUCCCUUGUGCUCUUUUGUCCUUGACGGAAAGUGGCAGUAUGGCUCUGCCUUUGGAAAGCUCCCUCUGCACCUUCUGCACAGAGAGGCAGCUGCUUAGAGCCUGUGUCCUGGAAGCUGCAGACAUUUCUCCCGAAAGGCA
rnacentral:lncRNA from 1 species